CUGCAGCGUCGCCAACAGAGGCAACUGUUUUUUCUGUGCACAUCACUCCUUGGUAAUAAAUGUCAGCAUAAACUUUGCCUCCGAAAGGCUUGAAAACCACAGCUCGCUCAUGCGUAAUCACAAGCCUUGCUUGCAUUUUCAAAGAAGACGUCGCAAAAAUUAACCCGAAACGUUCGUCCUCGAAGCGGCACCAGCUCGUCGAAGGAGCGAGUCCACGGAGCGCCUGAAACGAGAAAGGCGAGGAUUCUGUAGCAGCCAGCUCUCCCGGCUCUUGAUGUUCGUUGUGAGCGCUGUUCACGUCCUGACACGGCUUCUUGCUUCGUGGUGGAAUUGUUUGACAAGCAGAUCUUUUCCUUUCAGUCCUCUGUUUAGGGGUUUUAACAGGGAGGUAGGCUGGACACCCAGGCAGCAGCGUCGGAAUGGCACCGGGAGCUAACGACGGCUUGCCUCUGGGUAUACGCACUUCAACGCCGUCGAUUACGUGAACGUAGUCGCGCAAUAUGAGGUGGGCUUCAAAAUGGUGCUCACACACUGCUGAUAGUUCCGUGAGGCUCUUGUCGUCCCUUCGCAUGUUCCGCUCCCACUUCCCUCGCAACUCGUCGUCUCUUGGUGCGGCAAACAACGAUGCUUUAGGCGCGCCCGGGUAGCCGGUGCGGCAGCCUGGCGCAGAACAGUGGGAAUCAGUUCUUCUUUUCGCCAUAACUUCGUUAAAUUCCCUGACACUGAUGCUACAUAGUUCCUGCUCACUGCUAUCCCUACUUAACAGCAAGAUACGAACGCCAAAGUAAAAUUAACUGCGUGACAGCGCGCGCGCGAAGCGAGCUAAAUCACACACCGCAUUGCCAUGUGCUGCCAACGCGCGCGCCGGAGGCUAGGAAAAGGCGCAGCAGCGCCCCUGGCGGCCGUCAGUGUCAACUCGCUUCAGCCGAGCUGGCCCCAGCAGCCACCGGUCGCGCCACUAGAAAGUAUUCUAGUUCACUAUACUGAGAACCAAGAUAAUUUGCGCCGGCAUUUGUCCGCUGCUCUUUUUUUCCUAGUGUUUCAUUGGUGACUGACGUUGCGGUUGAUAAUCGCGGUUAUGAUGGGUGAUUUUGUCCUUGUGCGUAUGGUGACAGAGCCUGAAUGACUUCUGAGGCCACAGAUGGAACGGCCGAUGGGCAGCUUUGUUUACCUUCAAGACCGAGUGGUGCUGUGAGUUUGCUGAAAGCAACAACAGGACAGAAAAUAUGGGAUGUGAGCCUUGGAAGGACCAGCUGAUGAAAAAAUCAACGCCUGUGCUGCACAGUAAGGCUUCUGGCAGACCUGAAAGCAUAGAUAGAUAUGGUGCCUGCCUGUUGGAAUUGCACCAGCUCGCUUCCCUGAAAGAAGCUAGGUGCUGAAGAAGUACUUGACUAGCCUAUCCGCAUUGUCAUUGUGACAGUCUGCAUCACCAUUUGGCCUAUUUUGGGAUCCCACAAGACACGCUGCUACCCUGGUUGUUGUACCUCGGUCAAUUGCUGAAGUUCUGCAAGCCCCAUUGAAGCCAACUGUCAUCCGCAUCCAAUGGAAGAAACUCAUUGUUCGGGCCGUCAUAAUUUAUCUUAAGCUGAAGCUAGACGCAGGGUAGAAACAGCAUAUAUUCUACAAGAAUUUACCACUGCAUGCCGUCGAGUGGCUACACCCGACAGACUACUGUCUUGAACAGAGAUGGUGUUUUAUUCUAGAAUAUAUUUGUCAGCA